GGAGAUAAUAAAAGAAUAAUUCAAAUAAACUUGCAAUGUACUUCAAACAAAGAGUAAACCUCGUGUAAUACAUCAACGAAUAAAGAAAACUAUCUCAAGGGGCAUGCUAGCAAUUAACUUUAUAAAAAGCAAAUGUAUUAUUAUAGUAUCAAAAAUAACAAAAAUUAUAAUUGUCCAAAGUCUUAGUGAUUAAAUUCCAUUAGAUCAAAUUGUCGUUUGGCCACCAUUUCCAACUGCUCACAAAGACUUUCCUGCACAUUUAAAAUAAAAUUAGUAAUUAGAUAGAAAUCAAUAGUAUGCAAGUGCAAACUCAUAGCAAUGUGACAGAGUUUGCCCCUUGAAAAUUUAAAUACCAAGCACUAUUCUAAGAGCAGAUGUCUGUUAUAAGUAUAAGACUUAAGCCUAACCAAACUAGUAGGGGUACGCUAUAAUACUUCUCAACAUUUAUCAGUUGUUCCAUUAGUUGUUUUUCUUUUUUGUGCAAUGCCAUCAACACUUUUUUUGUAUUUUGUAUUAUCAGCAACACUUCCUUUUAUACUUUUAUGAAAAAUACAUAUCAGAAAAUAGAAGGAAAAAAGAAGACACUUUCAAAUUUCAAUCAGUCGUAUCCAUUACCGGAACACAAGUAUACAUUCACUCGAUCAUGUCCAUUAUAGAAAGACAUAUCCAAAUUAAUAGCUGAUAGAACAAUGCUAUUACAGAUAAAAAAAGAUCCAAGAAAAUAAUGGGUUUGACGAGUACGACUUUAUAAUCCAGAUUCCAGAAUUGAUGAUUAAUAAGAUUUAAGAGUAAAUUACCCCCCACUUGUGAAAUUACAUAUACAUAAACUUUCAUAUCUUCGAUGAUAAUGUAAAAAAAGAUACGACUCGUGAACCAUGUAUCAUACAAUAUGUAAUGGAUAAAAGAAUCAAUCAAUUAUUAAAUCAUUAACAUUUAUAAGUUUUAUAUUUACUCUUUGUUUCCACCUACUCAACCUUAUCAAUUUUACAAUAGUUCUAUUAAAAGCUUGUUCAAAAUUCAAGCAUCUCAAAAAUCCUAAAGUACAACAGUUAUGCAUGCUCACACUAAACAUUUCUGAUUGCAUUCUCCCAGUUGAAUUACUGACAAGACAAAGUUUAAUAGGAAGCCAAGAACCAAAAUGAAAUUAACAGAUCUGAAAAGGUUACCAAUCAAAAAUGUAAAAUAAUGCUUUCAAAUCCUAUCUUUAGCUUCAACAGAUACAUAAUACAAAGAAGACCAAAACCUCAAACCCUAUCAUGGAAACAUCAUUUACAUAAAACUCCCGCCUAUGUUAAGAAGCUCAACCUCUGGUUACUUUAGACCAUCAUAUCAUAAAUAAACUAUGAUUCGGUGAUCAAUCAAAUGUAAAAUAGAAUAUUUGUACUAAAAUUCCAUAACAUAUCUCACAGUACCAAAAAGAAUAUUAGCUUCAUCUUUAAAUGAAAACAAUGUUAGCAUAGGCUAACACGUUUACAUUACAUCUCAAUACCUAAUCACGUAGUUAAAAUAUAGAUUAAGAACUUUUUCCCUAUCAUUUAAGCACUUUAAAACCUUUAAUAUUGGUAUCGUAUUUUGAUGCACAUGGAAAUUAUUACUUUCUAACAUAUAAUUAUGAAUCUCAUGACAUAUAUAUGUUUGGGUAAUCAAUUGGACCUUUGAUAUUGCACAUUCAUCAAAAUCCAUAUGGAGCAGACCUCUAGCCGAUUUUGAGAUUACUAAUUCUCUGAAAACCUUGUCCUCCUACAAAUAGCCACAAGACAUUAACUCAACAACUAACAAAAUAUACUAGACAGGAAAAUCUAAUAAAUAAAUAUUCUAAAGACAAUCAAAACAACCACAAAGAAAAUAGUAGAGAUGAAAAUCUAAGACCUCAUGUAGAAAAUCUAAGUGAAACUGCUAUGCAAUCAUGUAAAAGACAGCUAGAAACAAAUUUACAUCGACAAGUCAACAGUAUACCCCUUCCGCUCCAUUUCUACUUCCUCUGUUUGACAAAAACUUAGAUUGUCAAGGUAUAAUAACUGAGUUUACACUAAUUAGUUGAAAUAUCUACAACAUCCAGUAUAUCCUCCAGAACUGCUCUCUUCAAUAACAUCGAGGCAGGCUGUAUAAUGUGCAUGCCUGGAGAAGUCUUCAAAACGUAUUGUCUAGUAGUUUCUAGGAUAGCAGAUGACUCAUGUAUAGGUUCAAUUUUAUCUAUCCUUUGAAGUCUAUUAGUAUGCGCUUUACGUCCCUUUGCAAUAUGUAAUGCCCAGAUACAAGAAAUUACUAAGAGGUCUUAAGAAGAUACCACAUCAUAGAUAAUACCCCAUUCCUUCCCUUCAUCAGAAGUAUUGAUCUUUGAUGAUUGUCACAUGGUAAUAACUAGUUUUUAGUACAAAUAUAGAUGGAAAGGAAAAAAUACAACACCUGAUUCUUUUUGCGUUUAGAUAAUCUUUUAACAAUGCAAAAAUGUCAAUCACUUCAAACAUUAAUAGAUAUUACUGCAAGAAGCUAUGUAAGAAUGGGCUAUCUUUUUUGCCAAUUUCAACAGAACUAAAUCGGCUUCGACCCAUUGGCUAUGUAAGAAUUGGGGUAUUUCAAUGGCCUUUAAUGUCCAAACAAGCCAUGGAAGACAUUGAGUUCCGUCGAGCAUAUGUGCAACUUUAUCAGAAAAAUAACGCAUUAAGGAUGAAGCAAGAUCUCGGUCAAGCAACAAUAAUUUAAGGAAGCAAGACAUUUUAACCUCCACAACUAAAUAAUUCCAACCUUCAGUUCAGGUAGACCAAGUUCAGCUCUCGAUGUUGCAAUUCGAGCACUGAACCACUAGAAUAAACCAAUGAUAUAAACAUGUCAGCUUAAAUAUUGAAGGCUAUAAAAGUGUAAUACCAUAAAGUUGAAUAGUACAAUUUACGAAAAUAACAAACCAUAGCCUAUUCUAAGCACCCACCACUGGCAAAUCUUUGAACAGUAGCAACAAAAGGAUUCUUUCUAUCUAGAAUAACCAACAUUAGAACAAAUAAUUUAUUGAUAAUUUAUCUAUGUCAGUAUUUCAACACUAAAGAACAUCUCUAGAUUCUCAAAAACAUGACCAAAGACUUAGGUACGGAAACAAAUUAGCAACCUACUUAAAUAGCCCAAUUCCUAUAGUCACAAGCAUGAUAUGGAGAACAGAGUUCUGAAUGAUUCUCAAAAUCUGGAAGAAAAAUGUGAGCUUCCAACAGCAAGCCUUAACUUUUGGCGAAGAAAAAGAAAAACUCACUAAGGUAGAGAAACAAACUAUACGAGGACGAAAAGGAGCGAGCAAAAUCAAAGUAGUGGAAGUGGAUAUUGAAGUAUUAGUAGUAAUAUUAGCAAUUACAGAGCAAAUUACACGGAUGAGUGCUCUGCGAGUAAACCUCUGGGUAUUGGACGACAAUGGAGAUAUUAUCAAGGUGGGUUAAAAGAACCAAAACCCUAAUUCAAAGCCUUAAUCGAAGUACUCAAAUAAUCAAAACCCUAAACUGGAAACUACUGAAAAUAAAGGGGCAGGAGGUUACCAUUUCAAGACAUAAUCAACUAUUAAUGUAGAAGCAACGGUAACGUCGGCAAUGGAGGUGGUGGAAGAUGCGGCAGUAAAAAUAUAAAUUUCUUCAGCACCAGCAAGUUGAUGGAGGUGUGGGAUUAAAAAUGGGCAAAUAUUUACUGUGCAUCCUUUUUCCUUUUAGAAAAUGGGAGAUAAUAUUUGAUUAGAAAAAAUAAUGGAGGGAAACUUCUAAUGAAAAUUUUGGUUGGAAAAGUUUAGAGCACGCUUAUAAAAGGUUGCUUUUAGGAUUAAGAAAUGGGACGCUCUAAAAGCGUUGUAAUAUAGGUAAGUAUGUGUUUCCAAAUGUUAUUUGAGUUGACAACACUUAUACUACGUUGUCAAUAUACUCAAAGAGAACUCUUAACAAGCAUGGUCUAAAC
rnacentral:lncRNA from 1 species